UGGAUCCAGACUUUGAUUUGGCUCAGGACGAACGCUGGCGGCGUGCCUAAUACAUGCGAGUCGAACGAAGCUUUCUUUCACCGAAUGCUUGCAUUCACCGAAAGAAGCUUAGUGGCGAACGGGUGAGUAACACGUAGGCAACCUGCCCAAAAGAGGGGGAUAACACUUGGAAACAGGUGCUAAUACCGCAUAACCAUGAACACCGCAUGAUGUUCAUGUAAAAGACGGCUUUUGCUGUCACUUUUGGAUGGGCCUGCGGCGUAUUAACUUGUUGGUGGGGUAACGGCCUACCAAGGUGAUGAUACGUAGCCGAACUGAGAGGUUGAUCGGCCACAUUGGGACUGAGACACGGCCCAAACUCCUACGGAAGGCAGCAGUAGGGAAUCUUCCACAAUGGACGAAAGUCUGAUGGAGCAACGCCGCGUGAAUGAAGAAGGCCUUCGGGUCGUAAAAUUCUGUUGUCAGAGAAGAACGUGCGUGAGAGUAACUGUUCACGUAUUGACGGUAUCUGACCAGAAAGCCACGGCUAACUACGUGCCAGCAGCCGCGGUAAUACGUAGGUGGCGAGCGUUGUCCGGAUUUAUUGGGCGUAAAGGGAACGCAGGCGGUCUUUUAAGUCUGAUGUGAAAGCCUUCGGCUUAACCGAAGUAGUGCAUUGGAAACUGGAAGACUUGAGUGCAGAAGGGGAGAGUGGAACUCCAUGUGUAGCGGUGAAAUGCGUAGAUAUAUGGAAGAACACCAGUGGCGAAAGCGGCUCUCUGGUCUGUAACUGACGCUGAGGUUCGAAAGCGUGGGUAGCAAACAGGAUUAGAUACCCUGGUAGUCCAUGCCGUAAACGAUGAGUGCUAAGUGUUGGAGGGUUUCCGCCCUUCAGUGCUGCAGCUAACGCAUUAAGCACUCCGCCUGGGGAGUACGGUCGCAAGACUGCAACUCAAAGGAAUUGACGGA
rnacentral:rRNA from 1 species